ACAAGCGGAGGAACAUGUGGUUUAAUCGAUGAUACGCGAGGAACCUUACCUGGGCUUAAAUGUAGAGUGCAUGAUGUGGAAACAUGUCUUCCUUCGGGGCUCUCUGCAAGGUGCUGCAUGGUUGUCGUCAGCUCGUGCCGUGAGGUGUCGGGUUAAGUCCCAUAACGAGCGCAACCCUUAUCGUUAGUUGCCAGCGGGUAAUGCCGGGAACUCUAACGAAACUGCCGGUGUAAACCGAGAGGAAGGUGGGAUGACGUCAAAUCAGCACGGCCCUUAUGUCCAGGGCUACACACGUGUUACAAUGGCCGGUACAGAGGGCAGCUACCUGGAGACAGGAUGCGAAUCUCGAAAGCCGGUCUCAGUUCGGAUCGGAGUCUGCAACUCGACUCCGUGAAGCUGGAUUCGCUAGUAAUCGCGCAUCAGCCAUGGCGCGGUGAAUACGUUCCCGGGCCUU
rnacentral:rRNA from 1 species